UAUAGUACAUAAAAUUUUAAAGAAAGUUGUGAUAUAGUUUUACAAUAAUAUAGAUAUACAACAAAUAUGAAGUUAGGAGUUCAUAAUGAUGGAAGCAUUGUUUUUACCCUACAUUGUUUUAGACGUGCAUGAAUAAUAUAAUAUAAUGCUGUAUUAUUAUUCUUGUGUUUGAUAAUAAAUUUUAGCCUGUUUUUUGAACGAUUGGUAAAAUUGGAUGGAUUUUAAAUCUUCGUUCAAAUUACUCCAAAUAUCUACUCCUUUAUUGGAGAGAGUAUGUUUCAUAUAAUUAGUUCGGGUGUAGG